GUGCCAGCCGCCGCGGUAAUACGUAGGGUGCGGGCGUUAAUCGGAAUUACUGGGCGUAAAGCGUGCGCAGGCGGCUUUGCAAGACAGAGGUGAAAUCCCCGGGCUCAACCUGGGAACUGCCUUUGUGACUGCAAGGCUAGAGUACGGCAGAGGGGGAUGGAAUUCCGCGUGUAGCAGUGAAAUGCGUAGAUAUGCGGAGGAACACCGAUGGCGAAGGCAAUCCCCUGGGCCUGUACUGACGCUCAUGCACGAAAGCGUGGGGAGCAAACAGGAUU
rnacentral:rRNA from 1 species